GAUGAACGCUGGCGGCGUGCCUAAUACAUGCAAGUCGAGCGAACAGACGAGGAGCUUGCUCCUCUGACGUUAGCGGCGGACGGGGGAGUAACACGUGGAUAACCUACCUAUAAGACUGGGAUAACUUCGGGAAACCGGAGCUAAUACCGGAUAAUAUAUUGAACCGCAUGGUUCAAUAGUGAAAGACGGUUUUGCUGUUACUUAUAGAUGGAUCCGCGCCGCAUUAGCUAGUUGGUAAGGUAACGGCUUACCAAGGCAACGAUGCGUAGCCGACCUGAGAGGGUGAUCGGCCACACUGGAACUGAGACACGGUCCAGACUCCUACGGGAGGCAGCAGUAGGGAAUCUUCCGCAAUGGGCGAAAGCCUGACGGAGCAACGCCGCGUGAGUGAUGAAGGUCUUCGGAUCGUAAAACUCUGUUAUUAGGGAAGAACAAAUGUGUAAGUAACUAUGCACGUCUUGACGGUACCUAAUCAGAAAGCCACGGCUAACUACGUG
rnacentral:rRNA from 1 species